rnacentral:rRNA from 1 species
GACGAACGCUGGCGGCGUGCUUAACACAUGCAAGUCGAACGGAAAGGCCCUGCUUUUGUGGGGUGCUCGAGUGGCGAACGGGUGAGUAACACGUGAGUAACCUGCCCUUGACUUUGGGAUAACUUCAGGAAACUGGGGCUAAUACCGGAUAGGAGCUCCUGCUGCAUGGUGGGGGAUGGAAAGUUUCGGCGGUAGGGGAUGGACUCGCGGCUUAUCAGCUUGUUGGUGGGGUAGUGGCUUACCAAGGCUUUGACGGGUAGCCGGCCUGAGAGGGUGACCGGCCACAUUGGGACUGAGAUACGGCCCAGACUCCUACGGGAGGCAGCAGUGGGGAAUAUUGCACAAUGGGCGGAAGCCUGAUGCAGCAACGCCGCGUGCGGGAUGACGGCCUUCGGGUUGUAAACCGCUUUCGCCUGUGACGAAGCGUGAGUGACGGUAAUGGGUAAAGAAGCACCGGCUAACUACGUG